GUGACAGAGCAAGACCCUGUCUCUAAAAAAAAAAAAAAAGAGAGAGAGAGAGAAUACAGGAUAACAUCAUGAAAACUUCCUAAAAUACUGAGGAGUUGUCCAAGGAAUGUUAGGUCUAUAAGCAGUAGCAGAGUAGAAUUGCAGCCAACAGAGUAACUGAGGGUGAGUGGUAAAUCUAAAGCUGGCUGUAAGGAGGCAGCAGGGAAUAAAAUGCCAAAAGCAGCAGAUCCUCUAUUUGUAUCUCUAUUCGUAUCUCAGCUGAGGAGGGCGACCAGAUGCAUGAAAACAACUGACCAAGAGCCUGGAAAGAGAACAUUAGGUUGUUUCUUCCUCCCCACAUGCAAGGGAAAUGGUCAUAGUCUUAGAAAUAGAUUGGAAUAGAUAUUCUCUGCUCACCAUCUACCACCCCAUAAUACCGGCACUGAGCAUCUGUUUUGGUGAUUUGCUAAGGGUCAAUUAAGCUUUAGAAGCUCUUAGCAUAAAAAUAUGAUGAGUCCUCCACGUUAGUGAUCAGAAUAAGACCUAAAGAGUGAAGCACAACUUGCAGGAAUGCUGAAAUCAAAAUUGCUUUUUUCUAGAUGUUUUGAUUGCUAAAACCUGUGUGAUUUCACGAAGCUUAACUUUGCUCAUUGGCAUGGGGUUGGUGGCUCAGCUUUGCUAGUGUCUGUGCCCAAGCUGAGUCGGCCUGCUGGUUUAUCUACCGUGGACGUGUCCAGAUCCAGAAGCUGGAAAUGGCAGAUGGAGAGGGGACAGCACUCAUAAGGCUUGCACAGGUUCACUGUGGAAAGACUUUCUGAAUCCAUUUCCCUCCGAAGGGGCCACAGAUCCUAGGCCUCAGCACCCCUAGGCAGGCGGUAGCCCUCCUUCUCACCAGGGGCUGCUGCAUUGGAGCCGUGGAAGUGCCCUGGUGGUCACUUUGCAGUUUAACUUCCAGGCUGCACAGUAACACCACUGGAGGGAAAAUGUCUGUGUUUGAAGUAAUCAUAGGCUUUCUCCUCUAAUACCAGCCUGCCCUGCCAACGUGCCAGCAGCACAAAGGGCCCCACUAUUUAUCCUCCAUCACAGAGUAAGUGGCCUAUCCCCCCGCCGCUUGGCUCCAAGCUCCCUGUCUGGACAGGACACAGCUGGGCUUUCAUCUAAGGAGGGGAGAACUCCAGCUGAUUACUUUUGUUUGGCCUUCACUGAAGACAACAGAGCAGGAGAGGCGUAUUGCUACAUUUGGGGCAAUGCGUACAUAUGUGGUUUCGUUAGCUCCAGCGGGGGCUAAUCCUCUGACAGAGCCACCUCUCACACGAAACACUGAAUGGAGGCGAUCCCGAGAUGGAUGGAGCAGCAGCAGCGCAGGUUGCUGCAGCUGUGCUGCCAGAGAUUGUAAUUCAGGAACCAAUCUCAAGCUGAGCAGAGGAAAAAAUGAGAUGCUUCAUGAAAAUGGCCAAAUGUCAUCACCAGCUAUUUUGUGAGAAGAGCUAUGUUAGGAGCCAUCCACAUGUAAAAUGGACUUUCACCAAAUUCCAUCCAUCUGCCGGUCAUGGAAGCUCACAACAUGUAUGUCUCCUGAGGGAGCCUUUUCGUUUUGUGCUUUUUCUGGCACUAAGAAAUACAGACACUUGUGAUUUACUACUGGGCACUUAUAGGAAUGGAGUCAACUAUUUCCUAAGAAACUCAAAGACUGAAAUGAGAAAUUCAGAAAAUAAAAAUAUUUUCUGUGUUAGAAAACUAUAUACCAGAAAGCCUGAAAAGUGAGGCAAAGGGCACGAAAUUCUGGUUAAUAAGAUGUUGUAGAUUAGUGAGAACUUGAAAAUGUUUUUGCUUCUAGUAUAUUUUUUGGAAUUUCUAAACUAUAUUAGCUCCCUUUCUUACCUUAGGAAUUACAGUAUUGUGAUCAUGUGAGAAGAUAGUUCUAAAUAUUAAUAAAUAUUUUUAACUUCAUCAAAUA
rnacentral:lncRNA from 1 species